rnacentral:rRNA from 1 species
UACAGAGGGGGCAAGCGUUGUUCGGAAUUACUGGGCGUAAAGGGCGCGUAGGCGGCCCGCUAAGUCGAACGUGAAAUCCCCGAGCUCAACUCGGGAACUGCGUCCGAUACUGGCGGGCUUGAAUCCGGGAGAGGGAUGCGGAAUUCCAGGUGUAGCGGUGAAAUGCGUAGAUAUCAGGAAGAACACCAGUGGCGAAAGGCGGCUC